GACGAACGCUGGCGGCGUGCUUAACACAUGCAAGUCGAACGGAAAGGCCCUGCUUUUGUGGGGUGCUCGAGUGGCGAACGGGUGAGUAACACGUGAGUAACCUGCCCUUGACUUUGGGAUAACUUCAGGAAACUGGGGCUAAUACCGGAUAGGAGCUCCUGCUGCAUGGUGGGGGUUGGAAAGUUUCGGCGGUUGGGGAUGGACUCGCGGCUUAUCAGCUUGUUGGUGGGGUAGUGGCUUACCAAGGCUUUGACGGGUAGCCGGCCUGAGAGGGUGACCGGCCACAUUGGGACUGAGGUACGGCGCAGACUACUACGGGAGGCAGCAGUGGGGAAUAUUGCACAAUGGGCGGAAGCCUGAUGCAGCAACGCCGCGUGCUGGAUGACGGCCGUCGGGUUGUAGUCCGCUUUCGCCUGUGACGAAGCGUGAGUGACGGUAAUGGGUAAAGAAGCACCGGCUAACUACGUG
rnacentral:rRNA from 1 species